CGAGGGGGGCAAGCGUUGUCCGGAUUUAUUGGGCGUAAAGAGCGUGUAGGCGGCCAUGUAGGUCCGGUGUGAAAACUCGAGGCUUAACCUCGAGAUGUCAUCGGAAACCAUUUGGCUAGAGUCCGGAAGAGGAGAGUGGAAUUCCUGGUGUAGCGGUGAAAUGCGCAGAUAUCAGGAAGAACACCAAUGGCGAAAGCAGCUCUCUGGGACGGUACUGACGCUGAGACGCGAAAGCGUGGGGAGCGAACAGG
rnacentral:rRNA from 1 species